rnacentral:lncRNA from 1 species
UCUGAUGUUCUCCUUGUUCUUUUCCAUCUUUCAAGACCCAACCUAAGCUCUAAUGGGCUGCAUUAAGCUCGUUCUCCUUAAUCUCUGUGCUGAGUUUAUAUACAUACCCAAUAACCAGCACGUUGUUCAAGGCAAUCUUACUCUUUAAUAAUUUGUUCAUAGUCUGGAAAAAGACAAGAUGUAAGAUGUGAACCUGAAAGACUAUAAAAUAUUGACCUGAAAGUGAUUUUUUUAAUAAAAGAGAUUCAAAGAAAAUGUUUUGGUGGUCUAGAGUCAGGAUUGAUUAGGUUUCAUAGAAAAGGUGGCAUUUGAACAGAACAUUAGCUGAAAAAAAAUGGUUUUUGAUCAAAAGUAUUGGGACAGGAAAAUAUGAAGAUGAAUGGAGACCUAGAGUAAUUCUGUAGGACCAUACUGAAGAAUUCACUAGUGAAAUAAGCAUGGUAAAGAGGUGGCAUUUUUAAAACUGCUAGCUGAACAAAGUGGAAAGGAUGCAACAAGGCUUUUGGUUGACAGUCCCCAAACCUCCCCAGGUGGUGGCAUUAUUCUGACAAAUGUACUUUUCUUCCUUCCUUCCUUCCUU